UACGUAGGGGGCAAGCGUUGUCCGGAUUUACUGGGUGUAAAGGGUGCUCAGGUGGAUUUGUUAGUCGGAGGUGAAACUCCGGAGCUUAACUCCGGAACUGCCUCCGAAACAGCAAGUCUUGAGUUUGGUAGAGGAUGAUGGAAUAUCUGGUGUAGCAGUGAAAUGCGUAGAGAUGUGGAAGAACACCGAUGGCGAAGGCAGCUCCCUGGGUUGACACUGACGCUCAUGCACGAAAGCGUGGGGAGCAAAC
rnacentral:rRNA from 1 species